GGGACUGUGGCUCAGUGGCAGAGCGCUUGCCUUGCACGUAGGAGUCACUGAGUUUGAUCCUCAGUACCA
rfam:Ictidomys tridecemlineatus contig065480, whole genome shotgun sequence.